rnacentral:lncRNA from 1 species
UGGGUAUGGACCAGUCGACUCCCCAGGUUACAGUGCCAAGUUUGGCACGUACACAUUGCUGCAUAUAGACCAAAAAGAUAAUCUAUUCUGAACUUGUGCAGGUUUGUUAUAAGUGCUGCUUUUUGUCUUUUAGAAAAUACUGUGGGGAGAAAUGCGCCUCUUGUUUUAGUCAAAUGAAUCUCGUGGUAGCUGCCGCAUGGAGCUUGAAGGCUUAAAAUGUGCUCUUGUAUUUCUGAAGAGUCACGGCGUCACAGUUGCAUUGGUAAUAACACAGACAGGCCAUUACUUUUCGUUGAGUAAAAAAUUUUUACUGUAUGUAGGUAUAUCAGCUAAAACUUUUCUAUCAAGUGCUCAACGCUGAGCCUAAUGUUAACACUAUCUUGCAGUUGCCAUAAGCUGUAUGGAGUGUCCUACGCAAAAGGUUACAUGUGAAGAGACAUUUAGAGAGACUCUAAGGCUAUGACACACCUGUGUAAGCAACUCAGAAGUAUUUAAGUGCCAGACACUAAAUUCAUGCUGCCACAAUUAGUAUACACAGAUCUUGCUUUCAAGUCCUUUGGUGUGUGAAAUUUGUUUUUCAGUCAAAUGUAGUUGGAGGCAGUUGUAUGGCACUGGAGGGCCGCAAAUGAGCCAUAGCUUUCCUUGAAAGCAAGAACAUAGAAAUUGCCUCUGUUGUGACAGAGACGUGCCCAAAUAAAAUGCUUCUUUUAAAAAGGAGUAGCCAAGUAUCACACAUAAAUGCAACCUUUGGCAAGUGGUGAAACAUGCUUUCAGCUGGCCAAUGCCUUUGAUGCACAUACAGAUACUGAACUCCAUGUGACCAACAUUUUCUAAAAUAUAUUUCAGGUAUCUCUGAGAAACUUCUUACCACAGCAAAGCACUCUGGCUGUACAGAACUUGGCCCAUGAUGAAGUCAACAGAAAAUCAUCUGUACUGGUCAGCUGCUUCUAGUGUAGGCCACAAGGGGCUCGUUGUGCCAAAGUGGCUUUCUCUGCUAAGCCAUGUCAAGGAUAUUCAUGCUCAUGAAGACUCCAAGGCCUUGAAAACACCGAAGGACAUAGCCAGAGCAAGGCCCCUGCUUGUUGACAUGCCGCAGCUUUCAACAUCAUUUGAAACAUAAGGCAUGGAAGCAUUUCCCAGCCUGCUGCACCACUUUGCCCUGAAGUUUUGCCAAUAUUCUUAUGAAGGAAUGAAGGCCAGCAAUUGAAUGGAACCAACUUUCUGCUGAUAUAGCAUCUUUUGGUAAGUGUUCUCUACUCCUGUUUGUUGCCAAAUGUAUAAAGUUCAAAGUAAGAAGCAAUAAACCCAUACAUAUGCUACUCAGCGCAACGUUUGUGUCGUGCUUUUCUAUGUGCUUCUUCUAAUGGCUGUUCCUACAGAAUUUGAAGUAUCUGACAACAACCGGCCUAAGUUUCUACCCCACUGAAGUUUAUGCCUUUCAAUGUACUUAUGUCAGAUACAUAUUGCAAUGGCAUUGUGUCUGACUAAGUCCCUGCACCUUGAACUGUACUUUGUCCACCUCUUUGAAGGAAUGAAGAAAGGACCUGCUUCCAUUGCUACACACUUUAAAUACCACAAAUACAUUGCUCUGCUUGGCACGUCAUGCAGCCGUCGCAAAGCGCAUGUCAUGCCGGAGCCAAACACUGUAAGAUUGAGUUUGAUAAUUGAUUAGAACCCUCCGAUCAUUCGCUAAAGCAUGUGCCCUCGGUUUUUAUUUACACAUACAAAAAAUAUCGCAACGUACCAGUGUAUACAUACCAGCUCAAGUUUCCAAUUAUGUGGAAAGGUCAACACCUCAUCUUCUGUGGUAACUGAUGCCCUUACUUGAGAUUAUACAGUAUUUGC